rnacentral:rRNA from 1 species
UACGUAGGGUGCAAGCGUUAAUCGGAAUUACUGGGCGUAAAGCGUGCGCAGGCGGUUGUGUAAGACAGAUGUGAAAGCCCCGGGCUCAACCUGGGAAUUGCGAUGAAGACUGCAAGGCUUGAAUCUGGCAGAGGGGGGGUAGAAUUCCACGUGUAGCAGUGAAAUGCGUAGAGAUGUGGAGGAACACCGAUGGCGAAGGCAGCCCCCUGGGUCAAGAUUGACGCUCAUGCACGAAAGCGUGGGGAGCAAACAGG